rnacentral:ncRNA from 1 species
UAAGUAAGAGUUUGAUCCUGGCUCAGAAUGAACGCUAGUGGUUGGCCUAACACAUGCAAGUCAAAAAUAAUAAAAUUAUUUUAGGCGGACGGGUGAGUAAUACACAAAAAUUACCCUUGUUUUUUAAGGAAAGUUUGUGCAAGAUUAGGUUGUUGGGAUUAGUAAUUGUUCUCCCAAGCCUAUGAUCUUUAGCUGGUCUUUGAGGAUGAACAGCCACACUGGAACUGAAACACGGUCCAGACUCUAUUAAGAGGCAGCAGUGGGGAAUUUUAGGCAAUGAGCGAAAGCUUGACCUAGCUAAAUCACGUGUGUGAAGAAGGUUGUUAAUCGUAAAACACUUUAUUUAAUUUUAAAAUAAUGAUUAAAUUAUAAAAAAAUCCUGGCUAAUUUCGUGCCAGCAGCCGCGGUAAAACGGAAAGGAUAAGCGUUAUUCGGAUUGAUUGGGCAUAAAGGAUACGUAGGCUGAAAAUUAACUGGAACCACAAAACUAAAAGCUCACCAAUUAGCUAAGUUUCUAAAGUAAUUUUCUUGAGUUCAGUGAGAAGAUUAUGGAAUUUCAAGUGGAGCGGUAAAAUGUGUUGAUAUUUGAAGGAACCUCAAUGGCGAAGGCAUUAAUCUAAACUGAAACUGACGCUGAGGUAUGAAAGCAUGGGUAGCAAAAGGGAUUAGAUACCCCUGUAGUCCAUGCCCUCAACGAUGAGUGUUAUUUUUUGGACUAAAAAUAUCUUAAGUUCAGAAAAAAAAUUAAUAUGUUAAACACUCCGCCUGGGAACUACGAUCGCAAGAUUAAAACUCAAAGGAAUUGACGGGGACCUGCACAAGUAGUGGAGCAUGUGGUUUAAAUCGACAAUACGCGCGAAACCUUACCAGUUUUUGUAUGAAAUCACAGGAGUUGCAUGGCUGUCGUCAGUCCGUGCUGUGAAGCGUUUGGUUUAUUCCAACGAACGGACGAAACUCUUUCAUGUUUUCGUUUUAUACUUAACAUGUAUUGCUAAGGAUAUCUUAGAAGAAAGAAAGAAUGACGCCAAGUCUUUAUGACCUUAAUAAAUUGGGCUACUUUCAUGUGCUACAAUAAUACUUUCAAUUUAAAGCGUAAUAACGUCAGUUAAAGCAAAAAUCGUAAAAAGUAUUAAUCGGAUUGUUCUCUGCAACUCGAGAAUAUGAAGUUGGAAUUACUAGUAAUCGUAAAUAAGAACGUUACGGUGAAUCAGUUCUCAGGUCUUGUACACACCGCCCGUCACGCUAUGGGAUUUCUUUUACUUGAAAAACUAAAUAAAUUUAGUUUUACGGUAAAAAAUAGACUGAAGUGAAGUCGUAACAAGGUAGCCGUAGGGGAACCUGUGGCUGGAAUAUAAAAUUAUAUAAAAUAAAUCAUUUUUACUAUCC